rnacentral:rRNA from 1 species
GACGAACGCUGGCGGCGUGCUUAACACAUGCAAGUCGAACGGAAAGGCCCCCAUCUUGGUGGGGGUGCUCGAGUGGCGAACGGGUGAGUAACACGUGGGUGAUCUGCCCUGUACUUCGGGAUAAGCUUGGGAAACUGGGUCUAAUACCGGAUAGGACCAUGGUUUAGUGUCUCAUGGUGGAAAGAUUAUUGUUUUGGUGCAGGAUGAGCUCGCGGCCUAUCAGCUUGUUGGUGGGGUAAUGGCCUACCAAGGCGUCGACGGGUAGCCGGCCUGAGAGGGUGGACGGCCACAUUGGGACUGGGAUACGGCCCAGACUCCUACGGGAGGCAGCAGGGGGGAAUAAUGCACAAUGGGCGCAAGCCUGAUGCAGCGGCGCCGCGUGGGGGAUGACGGCCUUCGGGGUGUAAACUCCUUUCGGUAGGGACGAAGCCGCACUUUUUUUGGGUGUGGUGACGGUACCUUUGUUAAGAAGCACCGGCUAACUACGUG